UACGUAGGCAGCAAGCGUUGUUCGGAAUUACUGGGCGUAAAGAGUGUGUAGGCGGUGUUCUAAGUUUGUCGUGAAAUCUCCCGGCUUAACUGGGAGGGUGCGGCGAAAACUGGAAUGCUAGAGGAUGGGAGAGGUAAGCGGAAUUCCUGGUGUAGCGGUGAAAUGCGUAGAUAUCAGGAGGAACACCGAUGGCGAAGGCAGGUCUCUGGGCCACUACUGACGCUGAGAAGCGAAAGCAUGGGGAGCGAACAGG
rnacentral:rRNA from 1 species